rnacentral:tRNA from 1 species
GCCCAGGUGGCGGAAUGGUAGACGCGCUGGCUUCAGGUGCCAGUGACCGCAAGGUCGUGGAGGUUCAAGUCCUCUCCUGGGCACCA